rnacentral:piRNA from 1 species
UCUAGAUGGGCACGAAUGCCAUUGGCAGGCAA